rnacentral:rRNA from 2 species
GUCUGCAUGGAGCCGACCUUGAAAUACCACCCUUUAAUGUUUGAUGUUCUAACGUGGACCCGUUACCCGGGUUGCGGACAGUGUCUGGUGGGUAGUUUGACUGGGGCGGUCUCCUCCUAAAGAGUAACGGAGGAGCACGAAGGUUGGCUAAUCCUGGUCGGACAUCAGGAGGUUAGUGCAAUGGCAUAAGCCAGCUUGACUGCGAGCGUGACGGCGCGAGCAGGUGCGAAAGCAGGUCAUAGUGAUCCGGUGGUUCUGAAUGGAAGGGCCAUCGCUCAACGGAUAAAAGGUACUCCGGGGAUAACAGGCUGAUACCGCCCAAGAGUUCAUAUCGACGGCGGUGUUUGGCACCUCGAUGUCGGCUCAUCACAUCCUGGGGCUGAAGUAGGUCCCAAGGGUAUGGCUGUUCGCCAUUUAAAGUGGUACGCGAGCUGGGUUUAGAACGUCGUGAGACAGUUCGGUCCCUAUCUGCCGUGGGCGCUGGAGAACUGAGGGGGGCUGCUCCUAGUACGAGAGGACCGGAGUGGACGCAUCACUGGUGUUCGGGUUGUCAUGCCAAUGGCACUGCCCGGUAGCUAAAUGCGGAAGAGAUAAGUGCUGAAAGCAUCUAAGCACGAAACUUGCCCCGAG